GGCGAUAUGGCCAAGAGGUAAUGUAGCAGACUCCAAAUCUGUUCCCCUUCAGGCGGUAGGUUCGAAACCUACUCACAUUGCCU
rnacentral:tRNA from 1 species